rnacentral:rRNA from 1 species
GAUGAACGCUAGCGGGAGGCUUAACACAUGCAAGUCGAACGGUAACAGAUCCGCUUGCGGAUGCUGACGAGUGGCGAACGGGUGCGUAACGCGUAUGCAACCUACCCUUUACUGGAGAAUAGCCCAGAGAAAUUUGGAUUAAUACUUCAUAGUAUUACGGAUUCGCAUGUUUCUGUAAUUAAAGUUCCAACGGUAAAGGAUGGGCAUGCAUGACAUUAGUUUGUUGGUGAGGUAAUGGCUCACCAAGACUACGAUGUCUAGGGGGUCUGAGAGGAUGAUCCCCCACACUGGUACUGAGACACGGACCAG